rnacentral:lncRNA from 1 species
AAAAAAAAUUACAUUAAGAGAAAGGUAAAUUUAAUGUGGCAAUUAAUAUAAUUUUGUGCAUGUUUUGGUUAAUGUAUAAAUUGAUAUGCAAGUUAUGUUUUCCGGCAUAACUACUGAAAAAACUUGAUGCCGAAAUAAAUGUAUUGGUUAAUAAAGUCGCGUAUGUGUUUCACCAUUUAAAGCAAAACUUUAUUAUGGCAACAUAUAGAGGAACGAGUUCUAAGGAAACGGUUGAAGACUCUAGCCGUAUUUUUUUUAUUCCUUGAGUACAGAAAUUAGUUUUUGUAUAUAUAUUAAGGAUUUCUUAUUUCUUAUAUAUUACAUUAUUAAUUGUUACUAUGUGGAAUACGAACGUGAGUUGUGAGAGGUCUUCGUGUGAAAGUCGUAAAGAAAUAGGAGAGUAAAUAAAAUAAAUAUGAUUUUUUUUAAAUAACGUUUUCGCAUGUGGCAUGACACAUCAUUAAAUGAUUCCAAGUGGCAUCCUAAUGUCAUCAUUUUUUCAAUGACAUAUCAUAUUCUGAUGACACGAUUAAAAGUGAGUUAAAAUAUGAAGAAUUCAAAAGCAACAUGUAUAUAUAAAUGAAGAGAAUUAUAUUUUACAUAUUACCGCUGAAAAGUUAUUCUCUUACUUUUAUAUAACAAUUGACCCUUACUUUGACGUGGUAAAUAAGGCUUGACAUUAAAUAAAAAAUUAUGACAUUCAAUAAAUUUGUAUUUAUCUAAAAAACAACAAUAAUUUAUUGCUUGCUAUAUAAAAAUAAUAUUUUUACCGCUUAAGUGAAGUAACAACUCGAUCAUUGCUUCAAAGUGGUUCACCCAAAUCAGGUUUAGUCAUAAUCUACGUAAGAUAACAAUUAUUAUCGAUUACAUGUAAACUAUUCCACCAUGAUUAAAUUGGAAUUAAAUCAACAGAUCAAGUAACAAACUCUAGUAUUGAAAAGAUUAAGGUAAAACAUUGUUUUAUAAUUGAUCUAUUGGUGGAUAAGUUUAUUAUGAGAUUUUAAAAUAGUAUAUAAAUAGUAUAAAAAAUGAAAAUUCUAUGAUGAUGAUUUAUAUAGGCAUCAUAGAUUCAAUUCAACAUUAGCAUAACAUUUGUCAACAACCACACAGAAAUAUUUUGUCAAAAACCACACAAAAAUGCUAUAAAUUAACAAAAAAUAAAACAAAGUAAAAAUAUUCAAAAUAUAAUAUUAUUGUAUAAAAAGACAAGCAAAAUGAAACAAAAAAUUUCUUAAAAAACGACAUGUAUAUAAAGAUAAAAAGAUUUGUAUUUAACAUAUUACCGCUGAAAAGUUAUUCUUUUACUUUGAUGUAACGAAUGACUCUC